CCGGUUGUCUAAGAUUGCUUUGUGAUGCCUUCUGCCCCGAGCUCGGCUCACUUUUUAAGAUCCAGCUGCCAGGGGAAGUCAGCUGCAAGCUCACCUCGAAGAAGGAGAAGGACAAAUAACUUGCUUCGUGGACCUUGCAGGACCCUGGGACCUUGGAGCGGAGGAGGAUCUCAAUCAAUAGAUCAGGUUGACCUUGAACUGAUUAUGUGGCCCAGGCUGGCUUCGAACUCAUGACGACCCUCCUGCCUCAACCUCCCAAGUGCUGGGAUUCAGGUGCUCUGGCCACUUUCUGAAGCAGUUCUGGAAGUCCUCCUUCAUGAGCAUCUUCACGAGGUGUGAUCAAAAAUGCAAUGAAUCCUGCCACCAAGUGUCAUCCAGCAGAGAGGGGAGACCAAAAGCUUUACAGUGUGUCCUCAUCACUUUAGUCACCAGAUUUGGCACCGUGAGACUUCUGGCUCUUCUCCAAAUGACCAUGAACAGGAAAUGUGUUGAGUCAAUUCAGGACACAGAGGCAGCCAUGACAGCCCCACUAAAGAACAAUGGGAUGAGCAUGUUUGGAGUAGGUGGGAUGUUUUGAGAGAAAUUAAUCACCAUGUGUUUUACUGUUACAAUGAAAUGCAUCCAUUUAAAAUGUGUGAUUCUGUGGUUUUAAAAAUACUUAUGGCUGUACAACCGCCAGGCUACUCAUUUUAUAACAUUGUAAUCAUUCUCAAAAGAAAGUGUAUACCAGUUAGCAUUCACUCCCUACUCUCUCUCCGCCCCCAGCAACUGGCAACCACUAAUCUACUUUCUGUCUCGAUGGAUUUGGCUACUGUGGACAUUUCUCAUAAAUGGAAUAAAACCACAAAUGAU